rnacentral:rRNA from 1 species
UAAGGAAUAUUGGUCAAUGGACGCAAGUCUGAACCAGCCAUGCCGCGUGGAGGAUUAAGGCCCUCUGGGUUGUAAACUCCUUUUAUCUGGGAAGAAAUGUACUUUUUCUUGAGUACUUGACGGUACCAGAGGAAUAAGCACCGGCUAACUCCGUGCCAGCAGCCGCGGUAAUACGGAGGGUGCAAGCGUUAUCCGGAUUCACUGGGUUUAAAGGGUGCGUAGGAGGGCAGGUAAGUCAGUGGUGAAAUCUCCGGGCUUAACCCGGAAACUGCCGUUGAUACUAUUUGUCUUGAAUAUUGUGGAGGUAAGCGGAAUAUGUCAUGUAGCGGUGAAAUGCUUAGAUAUGACAUAGAACACCAAUUGCGAAGGCAGCUUACUACACAAUCAUUGACGCUGAGGCACGAAAGCGUGGGAUCAAACA